AUUGAACGCUGGCGGCAUGCCUUACACAUGCAAGUCGAACGGCAGCACGGGUGCUUGCACCUGGUGGCGAGUGGCGAACGGGUGAGUAAUACAUCGGAACAUGUCCUGUAGUGGGGGUUAGCCCGGCGAAAGCCGGAUUAAUACCGCAUACGAUCUACGGAUGAAAGCGGGGGACCUUCGGGCCUCGCGCUAUAGGGUUGGCCGAUGGCUGAUUAGCUAGUUGGUGGGGUAUAGGCCUACCAAGGCGACGAUCAGUAGCUGGUCUGAGAGGACGACCAGCCACACUGGGACUGAGACACGGCCCAGACUCCUACGGGAGGCAGCAGUGGGGAAUUUUGGACAAUGGGCGAAAGCCUGAUCCAGCAAUGCCGCGUGUGUGAAGAAGGCCUUCGGGUUGUAAAGCACUUUUGUCCGGAAAGAAAUCCUUGGCCCUAAUACGGUCGGGGGAUGACGGUACCGGAAGAAUAAGCACCGGCUAACUACGUG
rnacentral:rRNA from 1 species